GGGCCCAUAGCUUAGUUUGGCUGGAGCACCCGGCUGAUAACCGGGAGGUCGUCGGUUCAAAUCCGACUGGGCCCA
rnacentral:tRNA from 1 species